rnacentral:rRNA from 1 species
CAGCAGCCGCGGGAAUACAGAGGGUGCGAGCGUUAAUCGGAUUUACUGGGCGUAAAGCGUGCGUAGGCGGCUGUUUAAGUCGGAUGUGAAAUCCCUGAGCUUAACUUAGGAAUUGCAUUCGAUACUGGGAAGCUAGAGUAUGGGAGAGGAUGGUAGAAUUCCAGGUGUAGCGGUGAAAUGCGUAGAGAUCUGGAGGAAUACCGAUGGCGAAGGCAGCCAUCUGGCCUAAUACUGACGCUGAGGUACGAAAGCAUGGGGAGCAAACAGGAUUAGAGACCCCUGUAGUCCCUGUCUCUUAUAC